AUUGAACGCUGGCGGCAUGCCUUACACAUGCGAGUCGAACGUUAACGGGCCUUCGGGUGCCGACGAGUGGCGAACGGGUGAGUAAUACAUCGAACGUGCCCGAUCGUGGGGGAUAACGAGGCGAAAGCUUUGCUAAUACCGCAUACGAUCUACGGAUGAAAGCAGGGGACCGCAAGGCCUUGCGCGGACGGAGCGGCCGAUGGCAGAUUAGGUAGUUGGUGGGAUAAAAGCUUACCAAGCCGACGAUCUGUAGCUGGUCUGAGAGGAUGAUCAGCCACACUGGGACUGAGACACGGCCCAGACUCCUACGGGAGGCAGCAGUGGGGAAUUUUGGACAAUGGGCGCAAGCCUGAUCCAGCCAUGCCGCGUGCAGGAUGAAGGCCUUCGGGUUGUAAACUGCUUUUGUACGGAACGAAAAGCCUUCUUUUAAUACAGGAGGGUCAUGACGGUACCGUAAGAAUAAGCACCGGCUAACUACGUG
rnacentral:rRNA from 1 species